AGUGAACGCUGGCGGUAGGCCUAACACAUGCGAGUCGAACGGCAGCACAGUAAGAGCUUGCUCUUACGGGUGGCGAGUGGCGGACGGGUGAGGAAUACAUCGGAAUCUACUUUUUCGUGGGGGAUAACGUAGGGAAACUUACGCUAAUACCGCAUACGACCUACGGGUGAAAGCAGGGGAUCUUCGGACCUUGCGCGAUUGAAUGAGCCGAUGUCGGAUUAGCUAGUUGGCGGGGUAAAGGCCCACCAAGGCGACGAUCCGUAGCUGGUCUGAGAGGAUGAUCAGGCACAGUGGAACUGAGCCGCGGUCCAGACUCCGACGGGAGGCACCAGUGGGGAAUAUUGGACAAUGGGCGCAAGCCUGAUCCAGCCAUACCGCGUGGGUGCAGAAGGCCUUCGGGUUGUAAAGCCCUUUUGUUGGGAAAGAAAAGCAGCAGGUUAAUACCCCGCUGUUCUGACGGUACCCAAAGAAUAAGCACCGGCUAACUUCGUG
rnacentral:rRNA from 1 species